AGGAACCAGAGUAAAUACUUAGAAGUAUAGGUAGCUGAGUUACACCCAUACACAAACAAAUAUUUGCAAUGGCCUAGGAGGAAGGUGGACUAUACAAUAGACUAGAGUAGGAACUAUGGCAAGGGCACAAAACCCUUGCCCCUGACUUCUAAGAUUAAGUGGAGCUUAGAGGUGGAGCUGUUUUUGAUCCCAGUUGUUAACAUUGAGUUUUACCGCAGUUGGUUCCUGCCAGUUCUUCCAUAUUUGUAUUCCUUUGUUUUGUGUAAGAAUCCACUAACCUCUUUGUAUCUUACCGGCAUGUCACCCAACUUCCCUAUUUUCUUCUGUAUAAAAAGUUUAAUGCUCGAUUUGACAAAUUACAUUCAGAUCCACAGUCCCUUGUGUCGAGUCUGUCUGUCAAUUCCUGCCGAUUCCUUGCACAUCUGCUCCAGAGACUUGUUCCACGCAGACAAGGGACCCAGAGGGUCUCUGGCACCUACAGCUGGAGAUGUUUAUAGGAAUCAAUCAGGUGUAUGAAACAUGUUGAGUUAUUCAGGAGCAAGCAAAUUGUUACAUUUUAGCAUUCUCAUGUUGGAUACAUAUACUGUAAAGCACAAACUGCUUGAAGUUUACAUGUAGUAUCUGAAAAUUCCCAAACACUCGGUGAAAUAUAGAAGCUAAUCAAACAAGUAUAAACAGUACUUGGUUUUAGUCUAAUGUUUCCAAUAUUUAGAAAUUUUACUAGAUAUUUUUCUAAAGUUGUGUUAAAGGUUUUUCUUUAAAGCCAUUUCCAGUUUGCAACUGGAAAUGCUCUGAAAGUCAAGAACAGCACAAGCGACUGCAAGUAUUGUUUUCUGUAAACAAAAGCUUCUAAGAGAUGUAAAAUCAAAAAUGUCCAGCUGACAUCAUUUUAGGAUUAGUCCAAAACACUGUUCUGAUGAAAAAGAUAUCAGCUCCAAAAUCUAAGAGUCUGUCAGAAUGAAGCAAAUGGGAGAUGGGCAGGGGGUGACAGAGUUGCAGUGGAUCGGGAAUGUUAAGAGUACCAGUCUUGGAGUAUGAAGAACAAAUGACACUCCUUAGGCAGAAGCCAAAAUUCCAUAACAGGCAAAGUAUGCAAGAGGCAGCUGAAAAGCACUUCCCAAUGCCUCCCACUUUCUGCAAGCAAUAAGUUCAAAAACACACAAAGUGAAACCAACUGGCCUUCAAGACAUCUUUUACCAGAAGUGGCUCUCUGAUGCUCAGAGUUUAUAAAACAAAUGAGGCUUUUGUUGGCGUUUGCUGUGACAAAGGUUGAGCCAGCCCUGUGGCUCACUUCCUUUCCUUUCUAACCUUUUAGAAAUAAUAAAAU
rnacentral:lncRNA from 1 species